rnacentral:rRNA from 1 species
GAUGAACGCUAGCGGCAGGCUUAAUACAUGCAAGUCGAGGGGCAGCAUGGUGUAGCAAUACACUGAUGGCUACCGGCAAACGGGUGCGGAACACGUACGCAACUUACCCAAAACUGGGGAAGAGCCGGGGGAAACCCGGAUUAAUACCACGUAACAUAAUGAAGUGGCAUCACUUUAUUUUUAUAGCUCCGGCGGUUUUGGAUGGGCGUGCGCCUGAUUAGGUAGUUGGCGGGGUGAUAGCCAACCAAGCCUACGAUCAGUAACUGGUGUGAGAGCACGACCAGUCACACGGGCACUGAGACACGGGCCCGACUCCUACGGGAGGCAGCAGUAAGGAAUAUUGGUCAAUGGACGCAAGUCUGAACCAGCCAUGCCGCGUGAAGGAUGAAGGUCCUCUGGAUUGUAAACUUCUUUUAUAUGGGAAGAAAUCCAUCUUUUCUUGGGUGGUUGACGGUACCAUAGGAAUAAGCACCGGCUAACUCCGUGCCAGCAGCCGCAGUAA